CGACGAGAUUUUGAGCCAUACUGCACCUUCCUCUCCGUUUUUUUACUCUUAUUUAAAAAUUAAAAAAAAACCCUAAAACCUAAAAACCCUGAAAAUCUAAGAAUCCUUCUUCCUUCUCUCGCGACAGUCUCUCACCCUUUCACUUCCAUCUCUGCGAUCCCCGCUGUCGGAGAAAAAUCCGUCCGUGAAUCCAUUUUUGGAGCGAGCAUUGUGCACACCUACCCUUGCCUGCAUCUGCCAGAGGGCUUGAGGGUUAUUGCAAAAGUGUCACGUGUGUUUGUAACCUCACCGGAAAUAGCUCGGAGCAAGUCCAGAUAAGUUGCACUGCUAUAUUCUUCAGCCAUUGUGAAGAGCCAAGGAACAGGGUUGCAGUUUUCAUCCCGAUUUAGUGCUGAAAGAGGGCUUUGUCUCUCUAUAAGAAAGCAGUAUGCCGCACAGAACCCGACCCAUGACUGCGCUCUUGGUGUUCACUGCUCUAAAUACAGUUUUAUGUGCAACCAUUACUCCAGUCUAUGAUUUUGUUUGCUUUCUUCCGUACUGGGAAAGAAGGAGGGAAAGACGUCGCCAGCAACGUGAAGCUACUAUAGCUAACAGUACAAAUUAGCCAUGACAGGAUUUAUUCGGAGAACCUUUCUGUAGUAAGAUUUUUAUUGUUCUUUCUUUCUUUCCCUUCUUGAUGUAAAUAACCAUAGACCAUCUUGAAAUGAAAAUAUGAACACUUGGCCGCAAUCGUCGGACAUUUAUAUAACCUUACUGUAACAUUGCUUUAUUAAGGUUUGAAACCAAAUGCUCAAUCGAG
rnacentral:sRNA from 1 species